UAAGAUAAAGCUGUAUCAGCAAUUUAUUUACACUAAAUAGUUUCUUUUAGAUAUCUUAA
rnacentral:tRNA from 1 species